rnacentral:tRNA from 1 species
GCUGGUAUGGUGGAAUAGGCAGACACAAGAGACUUAAAAUCUCUCGGAGGCAACUCCGUGCCGGUUCAAGUCCGGCUACCAGCA